rnacentral:rRNA from 1 species
AACGAACGCUGGCGGCAUGCCUAACACAUGCAAGUCGAACGAGACCUUCGGGUCUAGUGGCGCACGGGUGCGUAACGCGUGGGAACCUGCCCUUAGGUUCGGAAUAACUCCCCGAAAGGGGUGCUAAUACCGGAUAAUGUCUUCGGACCAAAGAUUUAUCGCCUUUGGAUGGGCCCGCGUUGGAUUAGCUAGUUGGUAGGGUAAAAGCCUACCAAGGCGACGAUCCAUAGCUGGUCUGAGAGGAUGAUCAUCCACACUGGGACUGAGACACGGCCCAGACUCGUACGGGAGGCAGCAGUGGGGAAUAUUGGACAAUGGGCGAAAGCGUGAUCCAGCAAUGCCGGGUGAGUGAUGAAGGCCUUAGGGUUGUAAAGCUCUUUUACCCGGGAUGAUAAUGACAGUACCGGGAGAAUAAGCUCCGGCUAACUACGUG